rnacentral:rRNA from 1 species
UUCUUUUGAUGGGGCAUAUAGUAAAUUAUGUGGCAACGGGCAGAAUCUUAGCUAGCCGAGACAGGGGUAAGCGGUAGGGCGAGAGCGAGUCCUUCAGUUAGGGUGGAUAUCACACAGGUGCUGCAUGGCUUUGGUCAAAUCGUGUCGUGAGAUGUUGGUUUAAGUCCCGCAACGAGCGCAACCCUCGCCCUUAGUUGCCAACAGUUCGGCUGGGCACUCUAGGGGAACCGCCGGUGACAAGCCGGAGGAAGGCGGGGAUGACGUCAAGUCCUCAUGGCCCUUACGGGGUGGGCUACACACGUGCUACAAUGGCGGCGACAAUGGGUUGAUCCCCAAAAGCCGUCUCAGUUCGGAUUGUUCUCUGCAACUCGAGAGCAUGAAGUCGGAAUCGCUAGUAAUCGCGUAACAGCAUGACGCGGUGAAUACGUUCCCGGGCCUUGUACACUCCGG